rnacentral:rRNA from 1 species
UACGGAGGGUGCAAGCGUUAUCCGGAUUUACUGGGUUUAAAGGGUGCGCAGGCGGAUAUGUAAGUCAGUGGUGAAAUCUCCGGGCUUAACCCGGAAACUGCCGUCGAUACUAUAUAUCUUGAAUGCUGUGGAGGUAAGCAGAAUAUGUCAUGUAGCGGUGAAAUGCUUAGAGAUGACAUAGAAUACCUAUUGCGAAGGCAGCUUACUACGCAGAUAUUGACGCUCAUGCACGAAAGCGUGGGGAUCAAACAGG